rnacentral:rRNA from 1 species
ACGAACGUUGGCGGCGUGGAUUAGGCAUGCAAGUCGAACGAAUCCCGGAGGGCUUGCUCUCCGGGGGAAGUGGCGAAAGGGGCAGUAAGGCGUGGGUAACCUACCCCGGGGACGGGGAUAGCCACCCUAACGGGUGGGUAAUACCCGGCGAGCUCGUGGGGACGCCUGUCCGCACGAGGAAACGAGUUUCGCCUUGGGAGGGGCUCACGUGGUAUUAGCUGGUUGGUAGGGUAACGGCCUACCAAGGCUCAGAUGCCUAGCAGGUGUGGGAGCACGACCUGCGCCACUGGCACUGCGACACUGGCCAGACUCCUACGGGAGGCUGCAGUCGAGGAUCUUCGGCAAUGGGCGCAAGCCUGACCGAGCGACGCCGCGUGCGCGAUGAAGGCCUUCGGGUUGUAAAGCGCUGUCGAGGGGGAGGAAAGCCCGCAAGGGUUUGACCUAGCCCUGGAGGAAGCACGGGCUAAGUUCGU